AUGGCAUAUAAAAAUUUGAUAUGAAGGUAUUGAUGUACAGUGCUAUCCCCAUGGGCUGUAAGAGAGGCUAAGAAACCACUGACAGAUCCAUCGUCUGUGAUGCUCGCACACAGUUCACCACUCUGAAAACAUACCCAAAGAAAUAAAGGGAUAAAAAAACUGAAAUCAGCAAAGGAUGUAUUUUCUCAGUAUAGUGUCCCAUUUGUACUGUUUAAAACAAAAGUAAUCAAAUUCCUUUGGGCCAGGGCUGCUAAAAUCUACAGUUUGUGUCAAAAAAUAAAAUGAAAUAAUAAGAGGCUCUUUUUUUUUCCCCUAGAAAAAAAAGAAUUUCUUUUUUCUACGUCACAUAUUCUAAGGGCUGGGCUAUGCUUAACAAUUCCACGUGGACACACAAAAACAAUUUUCGAGAGACAUGGAUUCUUUAUUUUACAUGAAUUGGCAUCAUCAUAUAACUGUGUUUACGCAGGUGACUGACGUGUACAUAUCUGUGCACGUGUCUGUAUGCAUAUGUAUGACACAUAUGGACUAUGUAUCAUACAUAUUUCUAAAUUUGGUUAGUCUUGGAGACGAGGAGAGUAUUUAAAAUAGUGUAAUGUCUUGGCAUGGCAGGAAGCCGGUGAACACAGGACUGACGAGAUCAGUGAACUAUGGCUCCCAUUUCAAAUCAAAUUCAUCUUCCUGUGAGGACCAGAAGCCAGAAGGCCAUUCUCCAGUCCCUAGAGAAGAAUGUUUUCUUGGUGUGUGGUUUGGGAAGAAGAAAACCAAUCCUGUGUAUCCAGGUGUAGUAGCUCCCGGCACUCAGCUGGUAAAUACGCACCACCAGUGCCAUUGUGCUCCGUGGCAACAUGUAUGUCAGAGGUUUUGUCUCACAAGGGUCAGAAGGUUCUCCAGCCGUGAUCUAUAGUUUUGCAAUCCAAUCAAUGAGGAGCACGGCUCCAAAACGCCCAGCCCGAGCCUCACUACCACCUAACUUUGAAUUGCAGCAAAACAGAAGAAAGUAUUGGUUAUAGUUAAGGCACAGCCCUGGGACCAAAGACCUGCAGCUAUGUUAUUUAAAUUUAUAUAUCUUUAUGUAUUUUAUAUUUUUCUUGAAUUUUUCCAUAAACGAGCUCUAUGAUGACGAGACUAUAUUACAGAAGAAACAGAAAAAUGUACAAGGAGCAUGUAUACACACCAUUCAUUCUCUCACCAAGAGUUUCCAAAUAUGUCAACACCAUCCCAGCGCGGGAUGAUGUUUUAAUAAGAACCGAUAAUUUACAAUUAACAUUACAGUAUGUACAUUGCAAUAAAUACACGGUUGUAAACAGACAAACAAGACUGUAUUACAGGUAAGGUCAUUUGGUGAGGAAAAAAAUGCAUGGCACAAAAAAAUAAAUAAUGCAUUAAAAAUUAUCAUAAAGCUUUCUGUAAAAUCUGUUUCAUUCAAGUUUUUUUUUUCUCUCCUUAUCUGUGGUUUGUUCUAUCUCCACUGUGUUACUGCGACUUACUGAUGUGGAUGAAAACGUAAUGGAAACAGCGUUAUCACGUUCCGUAACUUGCAAGCUGAAAUGUACUGGUUUUAUGCAAAUCUUAGACUUCUUUCCCCCCAUACAGUACCCAGAUAUUGCAUUUUUUUUUCUUAUGGCGUUUUAGGGGAUGUGAAGCCACUUGUAUAAAGAUGUUCUUGUUAAUGCGUGAAGCACACUUUGACAAGAGUGAGCCGGGGCGGGGCAUGGUCAAGGAGUUGGGGUGGUAAGCAGAUGGCUGAGUAGGUCUGGUGUACUAGUCCCUAACUCUUGGCUAUUGUGUGUCCUCUACAGCUUGAUUGUCCAUCAGUGGAUACCUCGACAGCACAAUGCCAUUCAAAACCAACACACUACACAACAAAUGCUCCACUACUGUAGCUGUAAACACCUGCAGUAUGGAUCUGUUUAUGACAUAUUGCUUAUUUACUUACUUACUUACUUACUCUAUUAUGAAGACUACAGGCACCCUGUAGGGGGUGGGGGGGUGGGGGAAAUGCCACACGUAGGGAGGAAGGAAAGCGAGAAUGAUUUCGAAAGGGGGAUAAACUCUAGACUCAUCGCCUUUUCUUCUAGACCUCCUUCAGGGAUCCGUGAAAUGAAAAGAGAAACAGGUGCCCCAGGUUUUGUGAAAUCUCUGGUCACACAAAGGCUGACUGUGCACCAUGCACUCUUCACAAGGAAAGGUGGCUAGCCCGCCAAUGAUCACUUAUUUGAUUUUUAUCCCGCCCUAUGCCACAGAUCAGAAACACUUCUGUACCAAAGGCUCUAAGCAUCGUUUGGAUUCAAGAACUUGAAACAAGGUUUGUGCGCAGCCUGGGUGAUCUCCCUGGCUGAUGACUUACUUUCUCAGUCACUAGCCUCCAACUUCCUGGAGAAGUUUUAUUCAUAUUUUUUUUCCAGACUUAGGACUUUUCUUAAACGUUUCCUUUUCCAUUUGGUCAUAUACCACCCUCUCCUUUAGUCCCCAUUUGGGUGCCAUAAAGGAAAAUUAGCAUGGGCUCCAAACCUUACACCAAGAAGACAACUAAGGUCUAGGCUAGACACAUGCUGCACGAGGCUGACUGGUAUCAGCAAGUUAACCCUGGGAACUAAGCCAUAAAUUCACAGAGUUCCUGGAGCUGAAAUCUGGAUUCCUCUCUUAAUGUUCUACUGAGGCAGACUCACACAAUCCACUGGUUUAGAUCCCAUCGCAUAACGAUCCGCCUGGAGCCAGCGGUAUCAUCCACUCUCCUUUAGUGUGUCUGCAGCAGUCCUUCCUAUGGGACAAGCUGAUGGAGCAAGAAGAAUCAAUAGCAAAGUCCACAUGUUACCAGACUGUCCAUUAGGAGAGAGCAGCUUCGACACUCAGAACCACUUCCCAGGGCUGCUCCUCACGGAGGUCUCGCUUCCCUGGGCAGUUCAAACAACAGCUGUCCUGGUAUUUGUCGAUAGAGACAGCUGACAGUCUUAAGACCUGCCUAUAUAACACUUAGCAUGCUUUUCCUCUGCAACCUCAGAGGAAAAAGCUAGAGAAGACAGAACCAUGUAGAAGAAUUGAACUUCAGCCCUACCCUGACAACCUGUUUCUUUUUCCUCGGUCAGAAUGGUAGUGACAGACUUGGUAAGACCCCCAUCAAGUGAACAAGUGCAGAGGCUGGCAUAGGCAUUAAACCAAGCAACAGGAUGCGAAAAUGUUUUUCUUCCUGUAACUGGCUGUGAGCAACAAUAAAAUGAUGGUGAAAUGUUCGGGUGACUACAAG
rnacentral:lncRNA from 1 species